rnacentral:rRNA from 1 species
GUCUUUUUGAUAAUAAUUUAAAGUCUAAUCUGCCCACUGAUAAAUUAUUAAAGGGCUGCAGUAUUAUGACUGUACAAAGGUAGCAUAAUCAUUAGUUUUUUAAUUGAAAACUUGUAUGAAAGAUUUGAUGAAAUAUAAACUGUCUCUUAUUUAUUAUUAGAAAUUUAUUUUUUAGUAAAAAAACUAAAAUUUGUUUAAAAGACGAGAAGACCCUAUAGAGUUUUAUAUUUAUAAUUUAUUUUAUUUUAUAUAAAAAUUAAUAUUAAAUUAAAUAUAAAUAUUGUAUUGGGGUGAUAGAAAAAUUUAAUUAACUUUUUUUAAAAAAUUAACAUAAAUAAAUGAUUAAAUGAUCCAUUAAUAAUAAUGAUUAUAAGAAAAAAUUACCUUAGGGAUAACAGCGUAAUAUUUUUUUUUAGUUCAAAUAAAAAAAAAAGUUUGCGACCUCGAUGUUGGAUUAAGAUAAAAUUUAAAUGCAAAAGUUUAAAGUUUUGAUCUGUUCGAUCAUUAAAAUCUU